rnacentral:lncRNA from 1 species
GUAGUUUUUGUCCCAAUUGUGGAACAGCUGAUCUACUUGGAUAGGCUCCAGCAACCUUGCACAACCUAAACAGGUUUGGGGGGUAGAUAAAAAAAGCACACAUAAAAAUAGUAUGAGAUCUGCUGGGCUUUUUUUCCAACUAAACUGAAGUCAAAACUUUUACAUUUGACAAAAGCUAACACAAUGCUGAAAGUGCUUUCUUCUGAGAAUCUCUGCUAGAAGAGUUCAAUCUCUGCUAGUGUUUUCUUCCAGCUUGGUGGGUGAAGAUGAAGCACCGAAUAAAAUCUACCCUCACACUCGCUCUGAUUGCCGCCAAGGCUGUUUCCCUUUAUCCUCCUCUUCUUCACAGACAGGCUUUUUCUUCCAUAAUGAACUGUGUUUGUGUGUGUGUGUGAGUAUGGGAGGAGGUGAAAUGAGUUGUUUGCACCAUCCUCCUUUAAAUCAAAAGUAGAGGGUAAGGCUGCACUUUAAUCACGUUUCACACCGACCUCACUCAUCUUCCUCUGCUCUUGUUUAAGGUCCAUCCGUGCAGAUCCAUCACCCUCCAGCAGACUGCUCCAUGCCAGGUCUGAGGGCGCACACACAUUAUGUAAAGUGACAAACAAAAGAGAUGAGUCCCGGGGCGUGGGCAGUCCAUCACAGUGCUGCACCUGCGCUGCUCCACCAUCUUGUCUUUAUGACUUAUUGAGCAGGCCGGUCAGCUGUAUUUCCUUUGUUGCUGGUAACGGCAGUGGAAGCCAUUUGUCACUACAGCGUCACCUUGGCUGGAGGAGAAAGCUGCGGAAAAGAGGAUGUCAGAAAAUAAAUGAUUGCCACCUUGAUCCCAGCUGCCCACCAAUCUUCCCCUCACCUCUUUCAGAAAAGCGGCGGAGCCGUACGCCCUGGAAUUCCAUACAUUUCAAAUGAAACACUCAUUGUUCCCUAAAAUUAAUACAUCCUGCUUGUAGUAAUACAGGAGAGCUUGAUGUACCUGUCAGAAAAAUAAACGACAGAGAAAAGAAACACAAGUUUGGGAAUUAUCUUUGAGUGCAGACGACCUGCAGGAAAAUUAAUGCUCGUAUGUGCAUGUCUGUGCUGUUCACUCUGAGAAAUUCAAACAGCAUUUCUCGGAUAAGGACGCUUUCGUUCAGCAGUGGAGGCAGCAAACAGUGCCUCAUAUCAACAGCUGCACAUGCAAAUUACAAAUCAAGCCCUUAACCAAACUCAUCAGCAGAGCAGCUAAUCUGUUUUAAGUGUUUGUUCUGUUUUUUUUCCUUCCGUCUGUCUCAUUUUUUCAUGAAGCAACAGAAGACUUUAAAAUGCUCCAUUUUUAGACCAUCUCUGUUGUGUGUUUUCAUUUCAAACUUUAUUUUCAAACUAUUUAUCCUUGAUGAUCACCUGAAUGUUCACGAGCAAAGAUUCCUCAUUCAGGGAAAAGGGUGGCGAAAGAAGAGCUGAACAGGAUUGCAGAUGAAGAGAAGGAAGUGAUGCUCAGAGGGAGGUCUGUCUUCUUGUGAUGAACAUUUAUGAACAUGAACAUGUUUGAAAAUCUUUCCUGAAAGUCUUCAAUUUGUCUUCACUGGGAUGCAAACUAAAACACAUCUGCUGUACUUUCUGACAUAGAGAAAAAAUAAUUUAACAGGUAAAAGUUCAGGGGUUAUGUUUAGUUUAAGUAAACUCAUAAUAAAAUCAAUAAUUUUUAAUAAAUGGGCUCAACAUUCCCUAAAACAAACACAACUCCGUUAACUUAUUGAGUCAUCAUCUCGUGGUAAAGCAAAAGACAGAAGUUUCUGGAUCAGGAUGAUUGUGUAUUUUGCCGCUCUGCAUAGCUCAGGUCUUUAAAGUGCACUUUAAUUACUCCUUAUCCCAUAAUCUGUAUGGAGAUUAACUUGUUGGCAGAAACUCAAAACCUGUAAUAAAUUAUGUCUAAGAUGUCAAAAAAAAACGAAUCAAUAAAAAAAUGUGGAAUAAGAGGAUGGGAAAAACGGAUUUUAGCAAAUGGAACUCAAACUAGACUCUUUUCUAACACUGAGAGUUGAGAGAAAAACAGAAAGAAGCUGUAAUGGUUAAAAACUGACACCUGGUGCGAUGUUGCAGGGGUACAAAAAAACAACAAAAAAAGGAAAAUAACAGAGAAUUAAACAUGACAAAAAGGAAGAAAAGAAUCUAAAAAGGCUUUAACCCUCAAAGAGGAUUCAGGCUGAAAUGUCAAAUUUCAGAAAUGACAUAUUUUGUCUGUUUUGUAUGAAACACUGUAUCUGAAAAAUGACUUCAAAUGGAUCAAACAAAUUAAAUCUGUCUUUUAUAUUAAAAAGAAAGUGUAUUCAGAUUGC